GAGUUUGAUCCUGGCUCAGAACGAACGUUGGCGGCGUGGAUCAGGCAUGCAAGUCGAACGAAUCCCCUGGGGGCAACUCUGGGGGGAAAGUGGCGAAAGGGGCAGUAAGGCUUGGGUAACCUACCCCGGGGCCCGGGAUAGCCAUCCUAACGGAUGGGUAAUACUGGAUGUCGUGGUCUGGUGGCAUCACCGGAUCAGGAAAGAUUCAUCUCCCCGGGAGGGGCUCACGUAGUAUUAGCUUGUUGGUGAGGUAACGGCUCACCAAGGCUGAGAUGCUUAGCAGGUGUGAGAGCACGACCUGCGCCACUGGCACUGAGACACUGGCCAGACUCCUACGGGAGGCUGCAGUCGAGGAUCUUCGGCAAUGGGCGAAAGCCUGACCGAGCGACGCCGCGUGUGCGAUGAAGGCCUUCGGGUCGUAAGNCACUGUCGAGGGGGAGAAAAGGGCAACCUUGAUCGACCCCUGGAGGAAGCACGGGCUAAGUUCGUGCCAGCAGCCGCGGUAAGACGAACCGUGCGAACGUUGUUCGGAAUCACUGGGCUUAAAGGGCGCGUAGGCGGGCAGUCAAGUCAGGGGUGAAAUCCCACGGCUCAACCGUGGAAGUGCCCCUGAUACUGAUUGUCUCGAGGGAGGUAGGGGCGUGCGGAACUUCCGGUGGAGCGGUGAAAUGCGUAGAUAUCGGAAGGAACACCGGUGGCGAAAGCGGCGCGCUGGACCUCUACUGACGCUGAGGCGCGAAAGCCAGGGGAGCAAACGGGAUUAGAUACCCCGGUAGUCCUGGCCCUUAACGUUGGGUACCAGGUAGUGGACUUACAUGGGUUCACUGCCGACGCAAAAGUUUUAAGUACCCCGCCUGGGGAGUAUGGUCGCAAGGCUGAAACUCAAAGGAAUUGACGGGGGCUCACACAAGCGGUGGAGCAUGUGGCUUAAUUCGAGGCUACGCGAAGAACCUUAUCCUGGGCUUGACAUAUGCGAAAGCGGUAGGCAGUAGCUUGCGGAAACGUGGAGCGAACGGUAACCAGUCCGUGAACCUACUACAGGUGUUGCAUGGCUGUCGUCAGCUCGUGUCGUGAGAUGUCGGGUUAAGUCCCAUAACGAGCGAAACCCCUGUUUCCAGUUGCCAGCGGGUCAUGCCGGGGACUCUGGAAAGACUGCCGGUGUUAAACCGGAGGAAGGUGGGGAUGACGUCAAGUCCUCAUGGCCUUUAUGCCCAGGGCUGCACACGUGCUACAAUGGCGUGUACAAAGGGAAGCAAGUGCGCGAGCAGGAGCAAAUCCCAAAAAACACGCCCCAGUUCAGAUUGAAGGCUGCAACUCGCCUUCAUGAAGUUGGAAUCGCUAGUAAUCGCGGGUCAGCACACCGCGGUGAAUGUGUUCCUGAGCCUUGUACACACCGCCCGUCAAGCCACGAAAGGGAGGGGAGGGCCAAGUCGCCGCGCCAACCGCAAGGAGGUAAGCGCCUAACCCACAACUCCUGAUUGGGACUAAGUCGUAACAAGGUAGCCGUA
rnacentral:rRNA from 1 species